rnacentral:rRNA from 1 species
UGCCUGUAAGAACUGGGAUAACUCUCGGGAAACCGGGGCUAAUACCGGAUGCUUGAUUGAACCGCAUGGUUCAAUCAUAAAAGGCGGCUUCGGCUGCCGUUUACAGAUGGACCCGCGGCGCAUUAGCUAGUUGGUGAGGUAACGGCUCACCAAGGCGACGAUGCGUAGCCGACCUGAGAGGGUGAUCGGCCACACUGGGACUGAGACACGGCCCAGACUCCUACGGGAGGCAGCAGUAGGGAAUCUUCCGCAAUGGACGAGAGUCUGACGGAGCAACGCCGCGUGAGUGA